rnacentral:rRNA from 1 species
AUUCAGGAAAGGGAUAUUAGUCCAAUUUUAAUUCUUCACAAAACACUAAAUACACCAAUAGAUUUAAAAUUCCUUCAAACAGGGUACAGCCUGUUUGAAAAAGGGCACAACCUAAAAUAUUGGGUAAUGUUUUUAAACUAUAUAACCAAGUAGGCCUAAGAGCAGCCAUCUUUUAAAAAGCGUUACAGCUUCAUUAUACUUUUAUAAAAAUAUACCAGCCUAAAUCCAAAACCCAUUACUCAUACUGAACGACCCCAUACUAUUUAUGGGAAACCUUAUGUUAGAACUAGUAACAAGAAAUAAUUCUCCACAAACGCAAAUGUAAGCCGGAACGAACUUCUCACCGGCACCUACCGCCAAUGACUUAGUAGUAAUAACCCACACAAGAAAAUUUUACCCCCCCCCCAGCGUUAACCUUACACUAGAGCUUUCCUGGAAAGAUUAAAAGGGGAGGAAGGAACUCGGCAAAUCUCAACCCCGCCUGUUUACCAAAAACAUCGCCUUCUGCUUAUAAUAGAAGGUCCAGCCUGCCCAGUGACAAACUUAAACGGCCGCGGUACUCUAACCGUGCAAAGGUAGCACAAUCACUUGUUCUUUAAAUAAGGACUAGUAUGAACGGCACCACGAGGGUUGUACUGUCUCCCCCCCCCAAUCAGUGAAACUAAUCUCCCCGUGAAGAAGCGGGGAUAAACCCAUAAGACGAGAAGACCCCAUGGAGCUUAAAACAAUACUACUUGUACUACUAUAAUACCAAUUUAAAUCCAACAAGUCUAACCUAUAAGUUUUUGGUUGGGGUGACCGCGGAGUAAAAUAAAUCCUCCACGACGAAAGGGGCUAACCCCCUUAUCAAUAGAACUACAACUCGAAGAAUCAAAACAUUGACUCUAAUUGACCCAAUAUAUUUGAGCAACGAACCAAGUUACCCUGGGGAUAACAGCGCAAUCCACUUUAAGAGCCCCUAUCGACAAGUGGGUUUACGACCUCGAUGUUGGAUCAGGGUAUCCUAGUGGUGCAGCCGCUACUAAAGGUUCGUUUGUUCAAC